UACGUAGGGUCCGAGCGUUGUCCGGAAUUACUGGGCGUAAAGAGCUCGUAGGUGGUUUGUCGCGUUGUUCGUGAAAACUCACAGCUCAACUGUGGGCGUGCGGGCGAUACGGGGCAGACUAGAGUACUGCAGGGGAGACUGGAAUUCCUGGUGUAGCGGUGGAAUGCGCAGAUAUCAGGAGGGAACACCGGUGGGCGAAGGC
rnacentral:rRNA from 1 species